rfam:Bosea sp. Leaf344 contig_6, whole genome shotgun sequence.
GCGGACGUGGCGAAACUGGUAGACGCAAGAGACUUAAAAUCUCUCAGCCGCAAGGCUAUGCGGGUUCGAUCCCCGCCGUCCGCA